rnacentral:rRNA from 1 species
CCUACGGGUGGCAGCAGUCGAGAAUCAUUCACAAUGGGGGCAACCCUGAUGGUGCGACGCCGCGUGGGGGAAUGAAGGUCUUCGGAUUGUAAACCCCUGUCAUGUGGGAGCAAAUUAAAAAGAUAGUACCACAAGAGGAAGAGACGGCUAACUCUGUGCCAGCAGCCGCGGUAAUACAGAGGUCUCAAGCGUUGUUCGGAAUCACUGGGCGUAAAGCGUGCGUAGGCUGUUUCGUAAGUCGUGUGUGAAAGGCAGGGGCUCAACCCCUGGAUUGCACAUGAUACUGCGAGACUAGAGUAAUGGAGGGGGAACCGGAAUUCUCGGUGUAGCAGUGAAAUGCGUAGAUAUCGAGAGGAACACUCGUGGCGAAGGCGGGUUCCUGGACAUUAACUGACGCUGAGGCACGAAGGCCAGGGGAGCGAAAGGGAUUAGAUACCCCUGUAGUCCUGGCAGUAAACGGUGCACGCUUGGUGUGCGGGGAAUCGACCCCCUGCGUGCCGGAGCUAACGCGUUAAGCGUGCCGCCUGGGGAGUACGGUCGCAAGAUUAAAACUCAAAGGAAUUGACGGGGACCCGCACAAGCGGUGGAGUAUGUGGUUUAAUUCGAUGCAACGCGAAGAACCUUACCUAGGUUUGACAUCUGGGGAACCCUCCCGAAAAGGAGGGGUGCCCUUCGGGGAGCCCCAAGACAGGUGCUGCAUGGCUGUCGUCAGCUCGUGUCGUGAGAUGUUGGGUUAAGUCCC